AUCCUAUUGGAAGACAUUCCCGCUCCUGGCUCGGUGUGACCCGAAUCGUACGAUAGACAGCAAGUCUAUGAAGAGAGGCGUUGGGGACUGGAGAGGUGUUCGGCAUAAGAUCGUGAUGCGAGGCAAUCCCCUUCCCUUCUCGCCUACGCCCAACUCUCUCUCCUCCUCGCCCUCUCGCCGCCGCCGCCGCCGCCGCCCUCCUCAGGUGGCGCCUCGCGCGCUUCCGGCAGUGGCCCGACGGCUUCGUCAUUUCCCAGGUCCAAACCCUAACGCUUUCUUGGCUGAUCUCCGACAGAGCGGGUGUUACUGGUACCCUUCUCGAUCUCAUCGUUUCUUGGGCACGGAGAUCUGUUGACCGUGCCAUGGGGGGAUUCGCCCAAACAAUUCUGUUUUACAUUUCAAAGAGCAGGAAUAUGGAUUGGGGUAGAAGUGUAGGGGCAUCGGCUUCCAAAUGCAGUCGAGAUUCUUCUUGAGGACCGUCAUUCGUGUCAUAAAUGGACAUGCUUGUUCAUUCUGCAUUCGCUGGAGCCGAUGAGAGUAAUUAUGCCGGUGCUCUUAAUCUGACAAAUAUCUCCUCCUCUCCUUAUCAUAAUGUGGAUAAGACCGGAUGUUACAAGUCUCAGUGGCUGAGAAGGAAGCGCAGUCACUUGGAUGUCUGCAUCUUUCAGGGUAGCACUGUGGAACGAUGCACUGAACCGUUGGAUCACAUACCAACUCACCAAGAAAUAUUUUUAUGUGUGGAGAUAAAAGUCUAUAUCCAAUUCUGGAAUUCAUCCACAUCAGUGUGUGUCGGCAGAUCAUGGUGGCGAGUAUCACAAGGCCAAUUUGAAAUUCUCUUCAGUUAUUCCCAAGAUGUUCCAUUAUUUAGCCAAAUUAUGUGGAGACUGGCAUGCAUCGAGUAGUUGUCAAACGGCAGGCACCAUGGGUCAGAAACCUCGCCUCUGCCUUCGGUACCAUACAUUUCCGCAUACAUCUCCACAGAGAGAGAGAGAGAGAGAGA